rnacentral:rRNA from 1 species
UACAGAGGUCUCAAGCGUUGUUCGGAUUCAUUGGGCGUAAAGGGUGCGUAGGUGGCGCGGUAAGUCGGGUGUGAAAUCUCGGAGCUUAACUCCGAAAUUGCAUUCGAUACUGCCGUGCUCGAGGACUGGAGAGGAGACUGGAAUUCAUGGUGUAGCAGUGAAAUGCGUAGAGAUCAUGAGGAAGACCAGUGGCGAAGGCGGGUCUCUGGACAGUUCCUGACACUGGAGGCACGAAGACCAGGGGAGCAAACGGG